rnacentral:rRNA from 1 species
GUACUCGAGCGGCGAACGGGUGAGUAACACGUGAGCAACCUGCCCCAGGCUUUGGGAUAACCCCGGGAAACCGGGGCUAAUACCGAAUAUGACCUCUGACCGCAUGGUUGGUGGUGGAAAGUUUUUCGGCUUGGGAUGGGCUCGCGGCCUAUCAGCUUGUUGGUGGGGUGAUGGCCUACCAAGGCGACGACGGGUAGCCGGCCUGAGAGGGCGACCGCCCCACAUGGGGAGUGAGACACGGCCCAGACUCCUACGGGAGGCAGCAGUGGGGAAUAUUGCACAAUGGGCGGAAGCCUGAUGCAGCGACGCCGCGUGAGGGAUGACGGCCUUCGGGUUGUAAACCUCUUUCAGCAGGGACGAAGCGUAAGUGACGGUACCUGCAGAAGAAGCGCCGGCCAACUACGUGCCAGCAGCCGCGGUAAGACGUAGGGCGCGAGCGUUGUCCGGAUUUAUUGGGCGUAAAGAGCUCGUAGGCGGCUUGUCGCGUCGACCGUGAAAACUUGGGGCUCAACCCCAAGCCUGC